rnacentral:lncRNA from 1 species
AUUUGGCUGUGCCAAAAUGGUCCUGGGAACAGAACCCAGAUGUGAACCCAGGCUGAAUUUCUGGGCAAGGGCUGCUCCACAACCAAAUCCUGCCCCUGGCUUGGCAAGACGUGGCUUGUGCUGAGAGGAACAUACCUUUGGGAUUGUCACGUGUGCUCCUGGUGUGUCACAACAGCCACAGCUGGGCCCUGCUGAGGGGAAAAUGAGCUAGAAUUGUGCUGGUUCCUAAAGAUCCAUCUAGAAACAGAACUUCUCCAUCCUUCUGGAUUAUUGUCUCACAUUUAUCCACUGGAAUUAAGACCUAUGCGUGGGAAAAGACAUCCAGGAGAGUGUUUGGAUGUUAUUUAGCACAGGGAGGCCGCAUUUCUGAACUGGUAGGGGCUGAUCCCAGGGCUCAGAGUGUCAAAUCCCCUCAGGUUUCCAGGUAAAAGUGUGGAUGCACUGCCUCUACCUGAGGAGCUUUGCAGUGCUGCUUUCCCAUCUCGGAUGAAGCAGGACGAGCACGGGAGCUGGAAGGACUUGAAGCCGCAGAGAGGACGUGGAAUUCUGUUGGCUGCUUGCAAGGAAAGGAAGGAAAACAUUCUCCACUCAGUUCCUCACACCUUCUGAAAAGAUGGAAGAGGCUGACAGUGUGCUACGAGGAGGUCAAAGCUGGGAAUCCACAGAUGGAGGGUGCAAAACAUAGCCAAAACCCCAGCAAGUUUCUGGCUCACAAUGGAUUGUGAAUAGAAGGAAUAAACAAUAAAGAGAAUCCUUAAAAACCCUCCA